rnacentral:lncRNA from 1 species
GUUCAGGGGGCUGUGUGGUCUGGGGUUCCAGGCGCAGGGGCUGGUCUGGGGCUCCGGGUGCAGGGGGCUGGUCUGGGGUUCCGGGUGCAGGGGCUGUGUGGUCUGGGGCUCUGGGUGCAGGGAGCUGGCUGGUCUGGGGACGGGAGUGGACUCCGGUGGCAAAGGGCCUGCCUGCAAGGUGGAGGGUUGGACAAGUGUGCAGUUUUCCUUCAUUUUCCUUUUCUGUCUUGACGAAGAGCCGGCGUUUUCUUGCUGCCGGGACAGACGCUGCCUUCAUGACUCACGUGGCGGGGUCCUCGGCCUCCAGUUGGCCCAUCUCACUUCUGUCCCCAUCCUUGGUGUGUGGGGGGCGGGGACCCUCCCUCCUCCCCAACCCUGGAGGGCGGGGUGUUCCGCAGCUCCCUUCCCCAGCUCCCUCCAAGCCUGCUUGGCCAGGCUCCAUGGCAACUGAGGCUGUACAUCCAGGAAUUCUCCCCCCCCCAGAGGGGCGGGCCAGCUCCAUCCCUCCAUCACCUCCCGUGGGGCGCUGGGAUUGAGGGGCUGCCAGGCCCCUGGAGCUAGGGUGGGGGCUGAGGAGGGGCGGCAGCCAGCCCCAGGCCUGAUGUAAUUACUGCUAACAAAGUCUCCCUGGGGGUCUGGCUAAGGAGGGGGCCUGUGGGACAGGGAAGGACAGGCCCGGAGUCAUUGUGGGGCCCCAGGGGUCCGUUUUCUCAGCCUUGACAAACAGCUCUGACAACGGAGCGCUUGAGCCUGGGCACUGGCCUCGGAGGGCUGGGAGAGGAGGUAGAGGCUGGGGCUCCGUUGCCGGCUCCACCCCAGGGGUACCCUUGAGACUGUC